CUCAAGAUUAAGCCAUGCAAGUGGUUACAUUAACCCGACAGUUUAAAUAAGUGUUCAUUGCUAUCCGCAUAACACGCACAAUGCACAUGUACGCAUAAUACACACACAUACACAUCUGUUAUGCCGUACAAGCAUUAGGCAUAAAUUUUGUUUGCGAUAGUAACAAAAUUUCAGCGUGAAUCACACAUACAUACGCACAGUGAAUCACAGCGAAAUUUUACACAUUUCAACGUAUCACUUACGCAACUGCAGACAGCUGCUUAAUACAGUCACACUUGUCUUGACUUGGCACACCCACACACACAUACACACACACACACACGAUUUCUCUGUAACGCAUAUUCAUACAAGAAGCACAAUUGCGUUACACCGUGACACUUUUUAUCUUUUUUAUGGAUAACUCAGGGAAAGUUUGGCUAAUACGUACGAGUACAUACACACACACACACACACACACUCACACAUAUACACUACUCAGCACUCAAUGGUAAACUUUGAUUUACGCAUAUUUUAUGCGUCUAUCAGUUUAAAGUUUAACCGCAACAUGAGAGACAUUGAGCACGCACGUGUAAUGUGAAUUCGUCUCACGUUACACACCUACGCUGAGCAGACUUUGCGAAGUUUACUUUUGCGAAGCAUGUCAUACAAGCAUCUACAGCAUCAAGUCACAGGGUUGGCAAGUGUAUUUUUGAACCUUCAAAGCAGUCACGCAUACGGAAGAGUAGUUUCUGAUCCCAUAGAAGGAGCACCGUACAAUGAGAGACCGCUCUUAGUUCUAAGGAACGCAGCAGGCGCGUAAAUUGCCCAAUGCUAGUACCCUACAAUCAUACUUUUAUUGCAAUUUACUAUUAUACGCAUUACGACACUAUUUAUAGAUUUAUUUUUAUUCUGUCAUACACACACACAUCCUUGUUCACACGCGUAAAGUAGAAAUUAUAUAUAUCAUGUAUAUUUUAUUUACUGAGGCAGUGACAAGCUGUAACGGUUGAGUAUAAAAAUGACGAGUGUCUGGCAUUGCCGCUCUUUCGGGAGCUUGGCAAGUUGCCGACGCUUUGUGUGCUCAAUUGGAAUGCGGUGAGUUUAAGCAACUCAGAACCUUUUAACGGUGUUACGUAAAAAUUUCACUGUUGAUGUAUCUGAAUUUCAAGUGGAGGGCAAGUCUGGUGC
rnacentral:rRNA from 1 species